rnacentral:rRNA from 1 species
GUGAGGAAUAUUGCGCAAUGGAGGCAACUCUGACGCAGCCAUGCCGCGUGCAGGAAGAAGGCGCUACGCGUUGUAAACUGCUUUUAACCGGGAAGAAACCCCAGGACGUGUCCUGGGUUGACGGUACCGGAGGAAUAAGCACCGGCUAACUUCGUGCCAGCAGCCGCGGUAAUACGAAGGGUGCAAGCGUUAUCCGGAUUCAUUGGGUUUAAAGGGUGCGUAGGCGGAGCGUUAAGUCAGUGGUGAAAUCCUGCAGCUUAACUGUAGACUUGCCAUUGAUACUGGCGCUCUUGAGUGCGCUUGAAGUGGGCGGAAUGUGCCGUGUAGCGGUGAAAUGCUUAGAUAUGGCACAGAACACCAAUUGCGAAGGCAGCUCACUAAGGCGAUACUGACGCUGAGGCACGAAAGCGUGGGGAUCGAACAGGAUUAGAAACCCGUGUAGUCCU